UCUCUGGUUUGCACAGCUAGGGGGUGG
rnacentral:piRNA from 1 species